CAGCGUUGUUAUAAUUAUGAGCGGAAUCAAUAGAUUCACUAUACCAGAGUGGAAAUAAAGGACUAACAGGAAUAGCAGGUGAGGAAGACUUCCAAGAGAGCUGCAAAAUGCUCUCAACCUAAGACAGCAGAUAUUGAAAGUUCCAGGAUACUCAGAGAGGAAGAGCAAAGGAAGCGAGUGAAGAUGAGAGAGCUGUCCAUUGUCAAUAGAAAGCUAGAUGAAUUCAAGAAAGAG